GAUAAUUGAAACCAUUAAUAAGGAUGUAAAUAGUUGCAAAUUAAUUGUAUUUGGGGGUGAUUGGGAAGGGACUCUCAGACCAUCCUCAUCGGACAAAUUUAAAAGGUGUCUUCAAAUUUUAACAGAAUAAAAAAAAUAGGAAGAUGAGAAUUAAUGCGCUGAAUAGGAGUGACAUGAUGACUUUAAUGUCUGUGGAAAAACAUUUUUUGAUACGGGAAAACACGAAUGUGUCACCAUGCUAUUGGUUGGUGUUAUUGUUUUUUAUUUUUUCUCUUCAUUUGACCAACAAUUUUCUCUCUGUUCAUUUUAUCAAUAAAUUUCUCUCUCUUCAUUUGGCAGUUAAGACAUCCAAUAUACUGAUCACCGAUGUGGAUGCUCUCAUAGCUUUAAAGGUGUUUUAAAGUCCUCACAGUUUUUAUUUUAACAGUCAUGCUUUCUUGACUUUAUUUUUUUUUAAAGUUCUCAAAGCCUUGUUUUUAUUUGUUCUUUGUUUCCUUUUUU
rnacentral:sRNA from 1 species